rnacentral:rRNA from 1 species
UACGUAGGUGGCGAGCGUUGUCCGGAUUUAUUGGGCGUAAAGAGCUCGUAGGCGGUUGGGUAAGUCGGGUGUGAAAACUCCAGGCUCAACUUGGAGAUGCCACCCGAUACUGCUCUGACUUGAGUUCGGUAGGGGAGUGGGGAAGUUCCUGGUGUAGCGGUGAAAUGCGCAGAUAUCGGGAAGAACACCCGUGGCGAAGGCGGUUCUCUGGGACGGUACUGACGCUGAGACGCGAAAGCGUGGGGAGCGAACAGG